rnacentral:rRNA from 1 species
GAUGAACGCUGGCGGCGUGCCUAAUACAUGCAAGUCGAGCGAACAGACGAGGAGCUUGCUCCUCUGACGUUAGCGGCGGACGGGUGAGUAACACGUGGAUAACCUACCUAUAAGACUGGGAUAACUUCGGGAAACCGGAGCUAAUACCGGAUAAUAUAUUGAACCGCAUGGUUCAAUAGCGAAAGACGGUUUUGCUGUCACUUAUAGAUGGAUCCGCGCCGCAUUAGCUAGUUGGUAAGGUAACGGCUUACCAAGGCAACGAUGCGUAGCCGACCUGAGAGGGUGAUCGGCCACACUGGAACUGAGACACGGUCCAGACUCCUACGGGAGGCAGCAGUAGGGAAUCUUCCGCAAUGGGCGAAAGCCUGACGGAGCAACGCCGCGUGAGUGAUGAAGGUCUUCGGAUCAUAAAACUCUGUUAUUAGGGAAGAACAAAUGUGUAAGUAACUAUGCACGUCUUGACGGUACCUAAUCAGAAAGCCACGGCUAACUACGUG